GGCCUCUUUUCUAACACCCCAUUUAGAGCCUACUGAGAAGGGAUUACAACAUUGGUCUGUUAGGGACAGCGUUUCCUGUAGUUACAGCUGAGACAUUUGGAAGUUUAUUCUUUGGAGGAGGAAGUAUGAUCUCUUGUUCGUUGGAAUAGGAUCUUUGGUGGCAGAACUUUUCUUGGAUUUGAUUUUUGUAUUUUUAUUUGAAGAAAGAAGUUGAACACCUCCUGGUUUCUCCUCUUCUUUCCCCGUGGACGUGUUUAUUGGAGGUAGAGAAGCGAGGGAGGGAGCAGCAUGGAGGAGUGAAGCAGACGGAGAUGCUGUCCGAGGGGUCGUCAGCAACCAUUGUGAUGCGCUGUCGGAACGCCGGCGGUUGGAACGUUGGUGUCGGUGCCGGGAUGACACGCAUCACCACCCUGUGGAUUAUCUGGACCAGCUGGCUCUGCUUGACGGCCAACGGACAGAUGAAGAUACCGCCGGAAACGGUUCAGCAAUGGGCCGUCUCUUAUGGAAAACAAAUCAUUGCUCUUUCAACAAAAUACUCUGGUGCUCUGCUGCUCC